rnacentral:rRNA from 1 species
GAACGAAGCACUUAUCUUUGAUUCUUCGGAUGAAGAGGUUUGUGACUGAGUGGCGGACGGGUGAGUAACGCGUGGGUAACCUGCCUCAUACAGGGGAAUAACAGUUAGAAAUGACUGCUAAUACCGCAUAAGACCACGGAGCCGCAUGGCUCCGUGGGAAAAACUCCGGUGGUAUGAGAUGGACCCGCGUCUGAUUAGGUAGUUGGUGGGGUAACGGCCUACCAAGCCAACGAUCAGUAGCCGACCUGAGAGGGUGACCGGCCACAUUGGGACUGAAACACGGCCCAAACUCCUACGGGAGGCAGCAGUGGGGAAUAUUGCACAAUGGGGGAAACCCUGAUGCAGCGACGCCGCGUGAGCGAAGAAGUAUUUCGGUAUGUAAAGCUCUAUCAGCAGGGAAGAAAAUGACGGUACCUGACUAAGAAGCACCGGCUAAAUACGUGCCAGCAGCCGCGGUAAUACGUAUGGUGCAAGCGUUAUCCGGAUUUACUGGGUGUAAAGGGAGCGUAGACGGCUGUGUAAGUCUGAAGUGAAAGCCCGGGGCUCAACCCCGGGACUGCUUUGGAAACUAUGCAGCUAGAGUGUCGGAGAGGUAAGUGGAAUUCCCAGUGUAGCGGUGAAAUGCGUAGAUAUUGGGAGGAACACCAGUGGCGAAGGCGGCUUACUGGACGAUGACUGACGUUG